CUUUUUUCAGGGUCUAGUUUAGAUACUAAAGUCAUGAUCAAACCAAGGCUGCUGCUGCCCUUGUGAUAUUUACUUACCAAUGGGGAAAAAAUAAAAGAAAUAAAUAUAUAAUGUGUAACAAUAUAUCAGGCAUUAGUAAGCUUCAGGAAGGAAAAAAAAGCAGGAUAAAAAAGUUACCACUUUACAUAGAGUGGUCAUGGAAGGCAUCAUUAAAGAGGCAGUUUAAGCAGAGAGCUAAAUGAAGUGAUGUGAGAAGCCGUAUGAUUAUCCAGAGAGGAACAUUCCAGGUGAAGAAAACAGCCACUGACAUGAUUGAGGACCAGCAAGGAGGUCGUUAAGACUGAAGUAGAGCAAACAAGGGAAGAAUGAUCUAACUGCGAGCUACUGGACAAUUUGGAAAGUACCUGAAAUAACAGUUGAGUAUUUUGGAGAAAAUUCUGCCACGUGGAAAAGAAACAAACUGCGAAAAUGAUUUCCAUCCCAUCCAUUCUGUUUAAGAAAAAACAAAACAAAAAGGAUUUUGGGGUGACCUUGAUCUCAUAGAAUGCUGCAGACUGGAUUGAGGAAAGCAACAGUGAAUGCAGAGAGACUAGUUGGAGGCUAUUGCUGGAACCUAUAAAAGAUUACAGUUUGGACUGAAGAUGUGUUAGUGCAGAUGGAGAAAAGUGGAUGGACUGUACAGCACCUGGAAACUGAUUGUAUAUGACGGUGGAAGACUUGUAGGUUUUACACUAGUGACUCUUUGGAGGCAGAUGCCAUUACUGAGAUGGGAAACCCAGCAAGAGAUAUCCAGGGCCUAUACAAGUCUUUUUUUUUUUAAUUUUUUGAUACGGAGUUUCGCUGUUGUUACCCAGGCUAGAGUGCAAUGGCACAAUCUCAGCUCACCGCAACCUCCACCUCCUGGGUUCAAGAAAUUCUCCUGCCUCAGCCGCCCGAGUAGCUGGAACUACAGGUGCACACCACCAUGCCCAGCUAAUUUUUGUACUUUUAGUAGAGAUGGGGUUUCACCUUGUUGACCAGGAUGGUCUUGAUCUCUUGACCUCGUGAUCCACCUGCCUCAACCUCCCAAAGUGCUGGGAUUAUAGGCAUGAGCCACAAGUCUUGAAACAAACACACACACACACACACACACACACGUAAAUUAUAACUGUCAAAGUUAUAGGAGGAUUGUAUAUAAAAACAAGCUAUACUGAAAUGUAAAAGUAUAUCAAUACAUCAAAUUUCUUUAAGGGUACUUCAACUAAUAUUUAUGAGCAAUUUGCUUUUUAAAGUGCUGUUCUAAUAUGAAUAUUGGUUUAAAUUUUCCUAGCACACUUCAGAAUACUCUCAUAGUAAAAGAAGAAAAAGAAGAAGAAGAAGAGGAAGAGGAAGAAAGAAGAAGGAGGAGGAGGAGGAGGAGGAGGAAGAGAAGAAAGAGCUUUUAAACCUAUAUCUCAGAUAUUGGUUCUUUCCAUAUAAAAGAGACUUGGUUUUGCCCAUAUUCAACAAGAAUGGGAGAUGUAAUGUGAGAAAGUUCAAGCUGGUUUGUCCCAAUGAAUAUUUUUAACUAUCUUGUUCCUCUCAGGGAUAUAGAUCCUAAAGAGCUUCCAGCAUUGAAUGUAGCAUCUAAAUUUUAAAACAAUGUUACAUUAGUAGGUAGUUAGUUGACAAAAUACCUAGGAUCUGGAAAAUGGAUGUGAGUUGGGGAAGGCUUCUAGGUUUUGAUCAUGAGUAAAACAACAGUAAAAAUUGUAAAAAUGACAGCAACUUUACAGAAAUUUUAGUUUCCAGAACAUAUCUUCAUAAUCUCAUUUGAUUACAGUUGGUGUAUUUCUCACUGGGAAAACAUGAUGAUAAGCUAAAAUCCUACAAAAUGCACUGAAUUUUAGAGCUAAAUAACUUGUGUGCCCCCUUAAAGCUUGAUUUAAAAAAAAGGUAAGUUAAAGAUAAUUUAGACGUUCUACUUGACGCAGUGGGAAAGCAAACUUUGCCAAACCAAGAAACACUUUUUUCCCCAAGAAAUAGCCCAAGCCAACAUUUAUUUAAAAGAUUGAAAUAGAUUAAAAGAUGACACAUCUACAGUGACUUAUUAAGGGAAACCCAGGAUUUCGAGGGCAUAGUCCCUAACAUUUAUGGUGGAUGCCAAGGUAGAUUAAAAACCUACUCUCCCACAACACAGCUGUUUAUGCCUCUGUCAUCAGUAGUUUAGGCUGGAUGGACAAAAGGUGCUCCAAAUUGGCAAGCCUUAUGUUCUUAUUAUGUGUGUUUCAUCCCUAUGUUCUAGAAGAAGAAAGACCAUCACCACCAACCAACAUCCUCUCAUUCUGGUGUCAUCUAAAAAUACCUGCAGACAGUAUUACCCUGCGAUUACCUCACACGCCUGCCCAUCAGCCAUAGCCACCUCCUACCUCCCGCUCACUAAUAGCACAGUCCUGUAUCACCUCCUACUCAGCCAAGCAACACUACUGUAGCUGCUUUAGAUACACUCAUAUCUAUAUAUAUAGUCUCAUAUAUAAAUAUAUAUUCAGACAUAUACUCAUGUGCACACAAAAAUGCUUUUACAAAAGAAAAAGGGAAAGCUAGUUAUGUGAAAGUAGCUGCACUUUGGAAAGUUAGUGUGAUAUGCCAUUUGGAAAAUAGUUCCUGUUCUGUCUGGGUGUUCACCCAAAUGCCUACAGAAAAGCAUUUAAUCAUCUCAAACAUGAGCAGUAUUUGGUUUUAUUAACUCCUGACUCUUAAGCAAUUGAAGCCCCCAUUUUCUAAGUCCAUGUAUCAGGCCUUCUAUUUCCCUCUUUUAAUAUUAUAACAUUAUAAACUUAAUAUUUAUAAUAUUGUAGUGCAAGUUUUGAACCAGUCUGGAGCAUUUUCUAUUUUAAGAAUUUAUUUAUGAAUACUGUACUCAUCAUUCAACAAAUACAGAUUCUUCUGCCACCUGUUUUUACUGUUUUUUCUUUAUUACUAUUAUUUAGUAAAUCACUGAGGUAACAGUAUAUCAUUUUAGGACAGAAAUUAGUGAGAUGGAAAGGAAUCAAGAGCAGGUACAAGGGAAGGGAAGCAGAAAUAGGACUGGGAGAGAUCUGUCUCUGAUAGCAACAGCAGGCAAAAACCUCUAUUAGCAUAAUCAGAGCAACCAUGGCUUACUGCAGGGAGCAGGGAGACUGUGACUCUCAGCUCAGCUGCACCUAGCAACAAGCCCAAAUGAGCACCAUGGAGUAGCACCUAGGGCUGUGAGCAGGAACUGAGAUCACAGCCGGGGAAGCACUUUGAGGGUGAAAAUGGCAUGAGCCUGCAGGGGAACGUCUCCGUGAUGGUCCCAUCAUAUAAUUGAUAGUGAUCGUUUGUAUAAUGGUGAUUGAGCAGACAAUAGAAUGGGCACUGUGCAGACAGGACUAGGCUAGUUGCCAGAAACCCAGGACUCAAAUCCUGACUCGGAUGCUAACUUGCUCUGUGACUUCGAGCAAAUCCUUCAAAUAGCUGAGCCUUAGUUUUUCCCAUCUGAGCAAUAGCUACCUCUCCCAUUUGCCCGACAAAGUUAUUGUAAAUAUUUAAUUAGAAUUGUAUCUGAA